rnacentral:rRNA from 1 species
GACGAACGCUGGCGGCGCGCCUAACACAUGCAAGUCGAACGAGCGAGAGAGAGCUUGCUUUCUCGAGCGAGUGGCGAACGGGUGAGUAACGCGUGAGGAACCUGCCUCAAAGAGGGGGACAACAGUUGGAAACGACUGCUAAUACCGCAUAAGCCCACGGGUCGGCAUCGACCAGAGGGAAAAGGAGCAAUCCGCUUUGAGAUGGCCUCGCGUCCGAUUAGCUAGUUGGUGAGGUAAUGGCCCACCAAGGCAACGAUCGGUAGCCGGACUGAGAGGUUGAACGGCCACAUUGGGACUGAGACACGGCCCAGACUCCUACGGGAGGCAGCAGUGGGGAAUAUUGCACAAUGGGGGAAACCCUGAUGCAGCGACGCCGCGUGGAGGAAGAAGGUCUUCGGAUUGUAAACUCCUGUUGUUGGGGAAGAUAAUGACGGUACCCAACAAGGAAGUGACGGCUAACUACGUGCCAGCAGCCGCGGUAAAACGUAGGUCACAAGCGUUGUCCGGAAUUACUGGGUGUAAAGGGAGCGCAGGCGGGAAGACAAGUUGGAAGUGAAAUCUAUGGGCUCAACCCAUAAACUGCUUUCAAAACUGUUUUCCUUGAGUAGUGCAGAGGUAGGCGGAAUUCCCGGUGUAGCGGUGGAAUGCGUAGAUAUCGGGAGGAACACCAGUGGCGAAGGCGGCCUACUGGGCACCAACUGACGCUGAGGCUCGAAAGUGUGGGUAGCAAACAGGAUUAGAUACCCUGGUAGUCCACACCGUAAACGAUGAUUACUAGGUGUUGGAGGAUUGACCCCUUCAGUGCCGCAGUUAACACAAUAAGUAAUCCACCUGGGGAGUACGACCGCAAGGUUGAAACUCAAAGGAAUUGACGGGGGCCCGCACAAGCAGUGGAGUAUGUGGUUUAAUUCGACGCAACGCGAAGAACCUUACCAAGUCUUGACAUCCCUUGACAGGCAUAGAAAUAUGUUUUCUCUUCGGAGCAAGGAGACAGGUGGUGCAUGGUUGUCGUCAGCUCGUGUCGUGAGAUGUUGGGUUAAGUCCCGCAACGAGCGCAACCCUUAUGGUCAGUUACUACGCAAGAGGACUCUGGCCAGACUGCCGUUGACAAAACGGAGGAAGGUGGGGAUGACGUCAAAUCAUCAUGCCCUUUAUGACUUGGGCUACACACGUACUACAAUGGCGUUAAACAAAGAGAAGCAAGACCGCGAGGUGGAGCAAAACUCAGAAACAACGUCCCAGUUCGGACUGCAGGCUGCAACUCGCCUGCACGAAGUCGGAAUUGCUAGUAAUCGUGGAUCAGCAUGCCACGGUGAAUACGUUCCCGGGCCUU